AUCAUGCGUGUUAUUUUGUUGAUUGCAUUGGUAUUCACCACUGUUGUAAAUGUCUCUGGAAGCUGGAUCUUUGACUUAGAGGUAGAUAGUGCCCAUAUGUGUGAAUCCUGCGGCCAAAAUUCUGAAGACACAACACCAGUUAAAGAGAGUGAGAAAAAAGUGAGAGAAUGUAACGUGACAGAGUGUAGGGGUGUGUGUAUCAUACAAAGAUGUAAAACCGAUGCUAACAAUUGUGGUGGUAAAGCCUGUACUACAACCAACCAAGUGUGUAUUGAUGGUACGUGUGUAAACAUAAGUAACAAUUGUGAUCCAACAGAUGACAUAUAUAACACUUGUUCAGAUAUAGGUGAUCAGUGUGGUGGGGGUGGUGAAUUCUGUAGCGAUUCUAAUAAAUGUGUAAAUGACGCGUGUCGGUAUACAGGUAACUGUUUUACACAAACUGGUGUGCUUUGCCAAUCCGGUGGUUCUUCUGGCACGUAUUUAGGUGGUGUUUGGCUCGUACCCUGUGACGACAAGGAAUGUGGAUAUUUCACACGUCUUGGUGAAUACUGUGGAGUACCUAAAUGUGGAGAAUUAUUGUGUCGAGUUUUCAUGUAAUCAAACUUAUUGCU